UGGAGAGAUGGCCGAGUGGUUGAAGGCGUAACAUUGGAACUGUUAUGUAGGCUUUUGUUUACCGAGGGUUCGAAUCCCUCUCUUUCCGU
rnacentral:tRNA from 1 species